AGGAGGCGGCGCCGCUUCUCCUGCCUCUCCUCUGUACACCGCGUCCGUUCGCCCGAGCCACUUCCCUCCGGGUCCGUGCUCGCUGAGCGACAUCGCAAGAGUGUACCUGAGGGCAGCCCGCGGGCCUCGGAGCGGGUCUGGAAUUUGAUCUCUGCUCUCUGUAAUCGCCUGUAACUGAAAAUUCAGUUUUUCCGGCUGCUAACUGCUUUCUCUUUUGCAUUCCCGUUCUCCAGCUAACUCCUCUCUGCGCUGCCGGUAGUUGGUUUGGUCACCUCACGGCAGUUUGUAUCCCACUAUGGCAGGAGUAAAGGCUUUUCUGAAAAGAUUCUUAGCAGUGACAGAGGUAAAUGGAACAAGACUGAAAAGGUCCAAAAGAGUCAAAAGAGUGCUGGAGGACUCUUGCAGCCUCAAGCUAUCUACACCUUGUCUCUGUCAUCAUGAUGCUGGGCAGCAGAGUACUCCAACUGAGGUGAAAAGAACAGACCCUAAUGAAUAGCUGAGACUGUUACACAGUAUAGUAACUUGGUCUUCCUCCUGAUCCACCUGACAACCCUUCCUUCAAGUUCAAUCCUUCCUGAACAGGCAUUACUCUGCUUACACAGCAAGCACACUGCAGAACUUGAAUGGCAACAAGGCUUUAAAAGAACAAACAUCAGUUUCUGCUCUGCCUGAUCAGAAGAAAAAGGAGGAAUCUUUGGAUCUACCCUUUUAAUGUACCAGAGUUUUCAAAGCCUGAAACUACCGAGUCCUACAGUUGUCAGCUAUGCAACACAGGCCAUGGAGGUUUUGGGAGAGAAGGAGGAACAAAUGAUGCCUGACUCAACCUUCAGAGGGGCAGCACCACACUCUUACGAUUGAGCUAUAAACCACUGAACCGAGUUUGUAAUGGAAAUGCUGGCAGACCUCUAACUACUGCAAUACUAAUGGCACUCCGGUAAUCAAGAGGACCACAUAUAUUCCCAUGAUUCCAAAGCCAUGGAAUCCUCGGUGGGCCACAGGAACACUAACUGAAAUUAGAAAACAAACUGAAAACUCUGCUUUCUCCCUCAGAAAAAUGCCCUGACGUCAUUUGAGGCAACAGAGUUCAUUUUACCCUGGAGUCCAAUACCCAGAUUUCAUGCAGAUACCACAUCCCAGCACAGACUGGGAUGCCCUUUGAUGGGAAUUUCUGGCUUAACAGAACAGGCUUUUCAUACAUCUGGGUAAACACGUACGAUACAGCUGUGAUAGUAUCAGCGAAAACUUCCCAGCUCCACCGGUCUCCUUUUAAUUUACAUUAUAGUUACUUGGCAGAGAGAUACCUGGAAAGAUCUAGCAGGUACCAAUGGGUACACUCCAUUUAGAGCUGAUAUUAAUAGGACUCCUUGCAUGUUUUCUUUGAAAUGCAUUGUUGAGGGGGAAAGGCUGUUUCACAAAAAUACUGCUUAUUUUUCAAAGGUUUUCUUAAAUUCAGGAAAGUAUAAGUUCUACUGUGACAGUUAAAACCGGGAGAGAUGGAAAUGAACUAUACUGCAUGACCCCCUGCACAUACAUAUAAUGGAUAUGAAAUACAUCUGAGUAUUAACAACAACAACAAAGACUUCUAUUGUAACUUAAAUAAUGCAACAAACGAUCAUUAUUAGUUAGAAAACAGAAUACAUGUCAAGCACGUGAUAUAAUUUUCUAUAGUUACAUGUGAAUAGGAUCAGAUGGUAAUAAAUAUUAGCAGCAACUG